CGUCCCGGAGCGGGGCGUACGCCUGCGCAGAGCGGCCCGGGCCGCGGAGCCAGAGACCGCUGGUGCCGGACGUCCACUGCGCAUGCUCAGAUCCUGCGUGCGAGCGCUUCUCGAGACCCCCGGGUACCCAGGCGGGAGGAGUAGGUGUGAGAGGCUGGGCGGGACCCCCGGCGGGGCGGCGUGGAGAUGGAAGGCCCUGGUAGUGAAGGGUCCCAGUGAGUUCCGAACUUCACCCUCCGUUUCUUGGGAAACUCUGGCUGGCACUGGUUCCUGAGUGACAGCGCAGCCCUCGGAGCCCACGUGGCCCUCGGAGCGGCUGCGAGGUCACAGUUGAGCAAGCGCAGCUCGGUGCGUAACCUUGAAUGUAUUGCUUCCUCUGGUAGUUUUUAUUUAAGAAUAAGAGCAAAGGGCUGGUAUUAACAGACACUUCCAAGAGCUGACAUGAACUGUUUCCUCGCUGAGGCAGUGGAGGUGAGGAGGUUGAGUGAGGAGGCUUAGCUUCAGCCUUGAGCAUGCAGAACCGAAGUCUGGAGGGAUGGCCCGACAGGGACAAUUCGGAAGCCUGCAAAGAGGUUCAGCGGCAGAACAGGCAGGUAGCGGUGGAUCCUAUGGAAGGAUGCGGGAAGUCAGAUCAUAAAAAGCCAGGUUAGAGUGAGGAGCUUGAGCUUGGUCUUCGUUGAGUGCUUUUGACGAGAUCAUUUUGAAAGAUCGCUUUUGCCUGCAGUUAAAUAUUAAACGAUAGGGCUAAACUAAUAAUGUCCGGGGGACAGGGAACACACUAGUGUUAAACAUCCUCCACGGCUGAUUAAAACUUCCUGAAUUAUGGAGUGCUAGAAAGUUACAGAUUAGAAGCAACUAGUGGCUAUUAGGUAAACCUUCAUGGAAUGUACGGACUUUUAACUUUUACCAACCCAAGAGCAGAGAAUAUCAUCAGAUAGCACCAGAGACCUAUAACAAACAUUUAUACCAUCUACUUGAUUUUUCCUCCAAAGUAUUUUGUUUGGGGUUUUUUGUUUGUUUGUUUUUGUUUUUGUUUUGCUUUUUGGAGACAGGGUUUCUCUGUGUAGCUUUGGUGCCUGCCCUGGAUCUCACUCUGUAGACCAGGCUGGCCUCAAACUCACAGAGAUCUGCCUGCCUCUGCCUCCCGGGUGCUGAGAUUAAAGGCAUGCACCACCAUUGCCCAGCCCUCCAAAGUAUUUUUAAACUGCCUUUAACUUACUAUUUUACUCAUUCUGUUACUAUAAAAAAAAAACUACUCAUUCUGUUACUAUAAAAAAAAACUAUGAAACGGUUACCAUGCUGGAACGUAUUUGGGAUAACCCAAGUCUGUAUUCCUGGACCAUGGUGCCUCAUGUUCAUUUGGCUCCAGAAUAAACUAUCUCUUACUCUCUUCCAGGUGAAAACUGUUCUUUGUAUAGACAGCUGGGAUAUAAACUGAGGGAGGUGGGGACAUCAGAGGGUCUUUUGAGACAACUCGGAGGCAUUCUUUUGUCCUUUUUUUUUUCCUUUAAAGGGUAAGAAACACACAUACUAGAAAUCCAAAGCAUAAAAGAACGAGCAAGCUGGUUGUGGAGUUGAAGGAUGUGGGGUUGUAGUAGGCUAAGUAAUAUGUCACCACCCCAGUUCAUGUCCGUCUGGCACCUCACAAUGUGUCUACCAGGAGAGAGUCUUUGCAGAUGAAUUAGGUAAGGUGACAUCAUGCCGGAUUAGGAGGUUCCCUGAUGCUCAUGCUUGGGGUUCUGAGAGGAGAGGUUACACAGACCUAUAAACAGCAGAAGGAGGAAGGCAGAGACCAGAGGGAUGCAGCUGGAAGCUAAGGAAUGCCGGAAGUUCCCAGAGCUAAGAAAAAGCAGCCAAGGUUAUCCAAAGACCCUUCAGAAAAAGCUCAGCCCUGCCAGCCAUCUCAUUUUACACUUCUAGCUUCCGAAACUUUAAAGGUGGGCUUCUGUUUUAUGUCAUCUGGUUUGUUGUACUUUGUUAUUACCAACCCCAGGAAAUUUAAUGCAAGGCUCAAAUGGAAAUAGUUUAAAUUUUACCAUGCCAAAUACGCCUGUAAGUAGCUUAACAGGUGUGGUGGUUUGAAAGAAAAUGGCCCCCAAAGAGAGUGGCAUUAUUAGGAGGUGUGGCCUUGUUGAAGGAAGUGUGUCAGAGGUGGGCUUUGAGGUCUCAUAUAUGCUCAAGCCACGCCCAGUGAGACAGACCACUUCCUGUGCCCUGUGAGUCAAGAUGUAAGAACUCAGCUCCUUCUCUAGCACCAUGUCGGCCUGCAUGUUGCCUUGCUUCCCAUCCUGAUGAUAAUGGACUAAACCUCUAAAACUGUAAGCAAGCUACCACAAUUAAAAGUUUUCCCUAAGAUAAUAGGUAAAGAUCUUGGAUUCAGUAUUUUAUCUCAAAGGUUUAAAAAAAAUACCUUCAUGGUAUAUGUUUAAAUACAGAAUAGAUCUUUCUCUGUUAUGUUAAACUUGGAAAAUAGCUACAAGGUGGAUUUAGGAAUCCACUGUGAGAAGGACAUAAGUGAAACUCCAUUGCUCACUUAACUUCCACCCAGACGUGCCCACACUAAAGGAAGUGGGAGUAUGAGAACUACGUGGACAUAACAUAGGAAGUAUCCAAAGGUUUAGCAAAGAGUUGGCAGUUCUGGUCAGGCAAUAAGUAAAUCGGAAGCAAUACCAUUCUUGGAGGGAUUGCAAAGAUUAGUGUCCUGUCAGAGACUUGAAAUUUGCAUCGGUGGUCAUACCUACCAUAUCCCUUUCCUGCUCACAUAUUUAAUAUCUGCAGAACACAAGUGGGGCCUGGGCAAUGGCAUUGAAGUCUCAAACUCAAUUACAUGGUAAUUCCACUUAUAUUUCUAUCAAUAAUUUGCUAAUUGUGGAUCUAGCAAACGCGCUUUUUUCUUCUAUACCUGUUGAAAAGAAAAGAAAACCAGAAGGGUUUUACUUUCAACCGGCAAGACUAGAAAUAAGCUUUGCUGCCCCGAAUGGAGCUACACUAACUCCUGGGCUCUGUGUUGUAAUUGAGUCCAUAGCAGCCUCCAUGUUCACUUUUCCCUCCUACAGAAUCUCAUACUUAUCCUUGACACUGAUGAUGACAUGCAGGAAGUAGUGGAAUGGGAAGAAAUCGAGGGAGAUCUUUGAGGUCAACAGAAGCUGUUUCGUCUCAAGGGUUCAUCACUCGGGGCUAAAAUCCUGGAAAACCAACAGCCACCAAGGCCACCCCAAGCCAGUCGUUUCCAGAAAACUCAAAGAAUGAAUUUCACAGACAACUUAAGGGUGGGGAUUAGAAAGAAGAGAGCUCAAGACAAAGGAAGCAAGAAGUAUUCCUUUAUAGCAAGAGGGGAAUCCCAAGAAAGGUUGCCACUAAGGUCUUUGUUAGUAAGGCUUUACAGGGUUGAGGCAUGGUGAGAUCAGCUGAUCAAGGCAAUUGGCCUACCCAUGAGCUGUUCAUAAGUUUCUCCAUUCUGGUGGGUGGACUGGAGUUUUGGGCACACCUUCAGGACCAAUAGCUUCCAGGCAGCUCAGCUCCUUAGGUUGCUAUUUGUCUUAGUUUUAUUCCCUAUUGCUCUGAUAAAACACCCUGCCAAAAGAAACUGAUGGGGGAAAGCUUAUUUUGGCCCAAGAUUCUGAGUUACAUACAGUCUAUCAUUGCAGGAUGGUCAAGGCAACUGGUUACAUCCAGUUAAGAGGGGAGAGAGAAUAAAUGUGUACUUUCCUAUGCUCAGCUCGCUUUCUCCCAUUUUAUAUCAUUAAUUCAUGACCCCAAAUUAGGGGAUGGUAUUGCACACAGUUAGGCUGUGUCUUUCCCCGUGAUUUAGCCUAAUAGAGAUAAUCCCUUCCAUGCAUCUUAUGGCCGGCCACCUGACCUAGACAGGCCCUCACUGAGACUCUUCUCCUGGUGAUUCUAGAGUGUGUCAACCUGACAAAAUGGACAGUCACAUUAGAUAAAGGAGAAGAAAGGUAAGAAACCAGAGUGAAUCAAGACCCCUGAAACGCUUUUGACACUCCCGGCCUGCAGCCAGGACAGAACUACUGACAGAGCAGUCCCAGCCUCUGGCCAAGACUGAGCUGCUUGCCAAGAACAGGAAGCGGAGCUACCCUUUUCCAAGUCCCUCUCUAAACUGCCUGGCCCGUUUCUUUCUCCUGUUUUCACCAACAGCAACCACUCUGGACCUGUUGGCAGUGCUUCAAUGUCACAGAAAGUGGGGCAUGGGGCUGGCAGGCGCUGUGCCCAGUGGGAGAAGAGAAAACUCUGCGGCAGGUCUCAACUCGUCGCCGUGCCACUUGGGCCAUAUGAGCUUGGAGAUCCAGUUGUGCUUGACUUGGUACUGGCAGAUGUAGAUGCCACUUCGUCUUUGGCAGGCACAUAGAAGUGAAUCACAGAACAAACUCAGCAUUUGGAAGAAAGCCCUGCUCUGUGGAAACUACUCUGGGUUUAGUUGGAUGUUGGAUGUUGGCCAGAACCGAACCCUUAGAUAUCACUUUACUAUGUGGUCUGAACUCGGUGGCAAAUCAGGUUGGUAGUAAAUAAAUGUUGAUAGGAUCUGACUGCACAUCUGUGGUUUUCUUCGUCAUGCCCACAGUCCCAGAAUAAUGGGGGAAGGGGCAUUCAGAGAACAGUUAGAAGAAGGGCAUCCUAUAAAAUAUCUGACCAGGCUGGAGUGAUGGCUCAGCUGUUAAAAGCGCUUGGUGUUCUUGCAGAAGCCGUGGGUUGGCUUUGCAGCACCCACCAUGGUGACUCACAACCACCUUGACUCCAAUUCCAAAGGAUCCAAAGCCCUCUUCUGACUUCCUCGGGCACUGCACCCACAGAAUACACAUACACACAUGCAGACAAACACUCAUACACAUAAAAGAGAAAUGAAGCCAGGCGAUGGUGGCACACACCUUUAAUCCCAGCACUUGGGAGGCAGAGCCAGGCAGAUCUCUGCGAGUUCGAGGCCAGCCUGGUCUACAACGCGAGAUCCAGGACAGGCACCACAACUACACAGAGAAACCCUGUUGAGAGAGAGAGAGAGAGAGAGAGAGAGAGAGAGAGAGAGAGAGAGAGAGAGAGAGAGAGAGAGAAACGAGUCUUAAGAAAAGAGCACUCUUCAGAACUGUCAAGAUCUUCGAAAGGAAGCAAUUGGAGAAACCAUUAUAACCAGAGGCAGUCUAGGGGCACAGCAACUAAAUAUGCAAUGGUAUCCUUGUAACACAAAACUAUUUUUCGGUUAUACAAGGGAAGUCUGAAUAAACAGUGAAUUUUAUGUGUAAAUAUUUGUUCAUUAAGGAUAGCAAACAUACCAUGCUAACAUGAACAUUUUAGUAUUCAAACAAACUGGAUGGGAAGCAUAUGAUAACUCUAUAUGAAAUAUAUUUUUUAUAAAUAAAAACUGCUCUAAAAUC